rnacentral:rRNA from 1 species
AUUGAACGCUGGCGGCAUGCCUUACACAUGCAAGUCGAACGGCAGCGCGGACUUCGGUCUGGCGGCGAGUGGCGAACGGGUGAGUAAUACAUCGGAACGUACCCUGUUGUGGAGGAUAACUAGUCGAAAGAUUAGCUAAUACCGCAUACGACCUGAGGGUGAAAGUGGGGGACCGCAAGGCCUCACGCCGCAGGAGCGGCCGAUGUCUGAUUAGCUAGUUGGUGGGGUAAAGGCCCACCAAGGCGACGAUCAGUAGCUGGUCUGAGAGGACGAUCAGCCACACUGGGACUGAGACACGGCCCAGACUCCUACGGGAGGCAGCAGUGGGGAAUUUUGGACAAUGGGGGCAACCCUGAUCCAGCAAUGCCGCGUGUGUGAAGAAGGCCUUCGGGUUGUAAAGCACUUUUGUCCGGAAAGAAAUCGCGCUGGUUAAUACCUGGCGUGGAUGACGGUACCGGAAGAAUAAGCACCGGCUAACUACGUGCCAGCCGCCGCCGUAA